AUGGUAUAUCUUGGUAGUAGUACUAGUAGAAUCGAGAUUGAAUGCACUUUCUUCCCCGUCUUCCACUCUUCUUCCUCCUCUCUUCUUCUUCCUCCUCUCUUCCCCAUCGUCGGCCGCACACCAUUUAACCCCGCUCACUGCUCGCCCGCCCGCGCCAUCUUCCUUGGUAGCUCGCACUCAAAGAAGGAUUGGUCGGUGCUGCCGGCUGGCGUCAAGUUCGAUCCCACGGAUCAGGAGCUGAUCGAGCACCUUGAGGCCAAAAUGAGUGCUGACAGCGCGAGAUUUCAGUCUCUCAUCGAUUUGUUCAUACCAACCAUCGACAGCGAGCACGGCAUAUGCUACACCCAACCUGAGAAACUUCCAGGUAUCACACUGAGUGGCCUAAGGAAGCAUUUCUUCGAGCGCAAUUCCAGGGCGUUCAAAAGGGGCACAUGGACGCGUCUCAAGAUACAGUCGGAGUGCGGCAUGCACGUGAUGUGGCAGAAGACCGGCAAUACCUUGCCGGUGAUGGUCAACGGCCGGCAGACGGACAGCAAAAACGGUUCUUGUGCUGCACACCAACAAGAACUUCGACCAGCAGAGGACCAACUGGGUGAUGCACCAGUACCACCUCGGGGACCUGGAGCAAGAGAAGGAGUGGGAGCUGGUCCUCUGCAAGAUUUCUACCAGACGAACACUAGGGCCAGGAGUAAAAAUAUUAUAAGUUAG
rnacentral:rRNA from 1 species